UACGAAGGGGGCUAGCGUUGCUCGGAAUCACUGGGCGUAAAGGGCGCGUAGGCGGCCGGCCAAGUCGGGGGUGAAAGCCUGUGGCUCAACCACAGAAUGGCCCUCGAUACUGGCUGGCUCGAGACCGGAAGAGGUUGGUGGAAUUGCGAGUGUAGAGGUGAAAUUCGUAGAUAUUCGCAAGAACACCGGUGGCGAAGGCGGCCAACUGGUCCGGCACUGACGCUGAGGUGCGAAAGCGUGGGGAGCAAACAGG
rnacentral:rRNA from 1 species